UACGUAGGGUGCAAGCGUUGUCCGGAAUUAUUGGGCGUAAAGAGCUCGUAGGCGGUUUGUUGCGUCGGCUGUGAAAACCCGGGGCUCAACCCCGGGCCUGCAGCCGAUACGGGCAGACUAGAGUUCGGCAGGGGAGACUGGAAUUCCUGGUGUAGCGGUGAAAUGCGCAGAUAUCAGGAGGAACACCGGUGGCGAAGGCGGGUCUCUGGGCCGAAACUGACGCUGAGGAGCGAAAGCGUGGGGAGCGAACAGG
rnacentral:rRNA from 1 species